rnacentral:rRNA from 1 species
UGGGGAAUAUUGCACAAUGGGCGAAAGCCUGAUGGAGCAACGCCGCGUGAGUGAAGAAGGUCUUCGGAUCGUAAAACUCUGUUGUUAGAGAAGAACAUGCAGGAGAGUAACUGUUCUUGUAUUGACGGUAUCUAACCAGAAAGCCACGGCUAACUACGUGCCAG